rnacentral:rRNA from 1 species
GUGGGGAAUAUUGGACAAUGGGCGAAAGCCUGAUCCAGCAAUGCCGCGUGAGUGAUGAAGGCCUUAGGGUUGUAAAGCUCUUUCACCGGUGAAGAUAAUGACGGUAACCGGAGAAGAAGCCCCGGCUAACUUCGUGCCAGCAGCCGCGGUAAUACGAAGGGGGCUAGCGUUGUUCGGAAUUACUGGGCGUAAAGCGCACGUAGGCUGAUAUUUAAGUCAGGGGUGAAAUCCCGGGGCUCAACCCCGGAACUGCCUUUGAUACUGGGUAUCUUGAGUAUGGAAGAGGUCAGUGGAAUUGCGAGUGUAGAGGUGAAAUUCGUAGAUAUUCGCAGGAACACCAGUGGCGAAGGCGGCUGACUGGUCCAUUACUGACGCUGAGGUGCGAAAGCGUGGGGAGCAAACAGGAUUAGAUACCCCUGUAGUCC